GCUGAGUCUGUAACAGACCAAGAGGCGACCUGAAAUCAGAAGGCUCUUCUCCAGCUGAGAGAAAGGAGAUGCAGAAGAACUAACGAUGAUCUUCACACCUAGCAAUAUGGCUGCUUUCUUCUCUGUGUUCUUGGCUUAAUUCACUCAGUUUUGCAAGGGUUUUCAGUCAAGCAACUGUAGAAGAGGAUUGAGAAUCCUUACUUAACUAAGAAGACCCCUUGAAACCACAGCGGAAACGUGCAGCUGGAAGACUUACAGCUCUAGAGAGAAGAGGGGCACGGGAAUUCUUUGCCAGGCCACUUCCCUGUUUGUUCCUUAAACAUGGUCUGCAAACUGCACAGCCUUGGCCUGGUCCAGUCACUUCCUGAUUGGCGUCACCUCCAGCCUCUUAUCCCAGUAAUCUCUCUUUCAUGGGUCCUGAAGUUAUCUUCCCAGAACACUGAUCACGUCACUCCCCUUGUGAAGGCCUCUGCCGAAUCCCCAGAGUUUACAGAAGGAAGCCCUAAUGCCCUUCAGAGUCUGGGCCUAAUCCCCACCCCCUUUUUUCACCUUAUCUCUCCCUUCUCUUCCACCCCAGAGGCACACAGAAUCACCCUUUGUUCCCUGAACCAGGGUGGGUCUUUCAGGGAACCUGCCUUUGCACAAACCAGGGUCACUGCCAGCAACAUCCUUUUCCUCUCUAGCUGGGGAAGUGAAACCCGAGUUCGAAGACCCAUGUAAAAUGACCUGCUCUUGCAGGUAACUUUGGUCACUUUUGCUUCCUUAGCAUUCUGCAUAUAUUCUUACUAUGACAUUAAUGUCACUGCAUGGUAAUUAUUCCAAUGUUGCAAGUGAAAUCUCAAACACUUCUUUCCCGAACUGCAACCCCAAUGCUUUUGAAAUGACCUUUGGCUUUUGGACUUUGGACAUAGUGUAGAGUAAGGCAUCAGUAAGAUGUCUGUUUAAAUAAAGACUAAGAAAUAAAAUUAUGCCAUGUCCUGCCCAAAUGCAUAAAAGUGGAAAAAAUAGAUACAUGACACAUGCAGGUCUCUACCUAUAUAGAUAGACACAUAUACUGUAGAUACAUGAUU